rnacentral:rRNA from 1 species
GACGAACGCUGGCGGCGUGCCUAAUACAUGCAAGUCGAACGAGAGCGACCGGUGCUUGCACUGGUCAAUCUAGUGGCGAACGGGUGAGUAACACGUGGGUAACCUGCCCAUCAGAGGGGGAUAACAUCCGGAAACGGAUGCUAAAACCGCAUAGGUCUUCGAACCGCAUGGUUUGAAGAGGAAAAGAGGCGCAAGCUUCUGCUGAUGGAUGGACCCGCGGUGCAUUAGCUAGUUGGUGAGGUAACGGCUCACCAAGGCCGUGAUGCAUAGCCGACCUGAGAGGGGUGAUCGGCCACAUUGGGACUGAGACACGGCCCAAACUCCUACGGGAGGCAGCAGUAGGGAAUCUUCCGCAAUGGACGCAAGUCUGACGGAGCAACGCCGCGUGAGUGAAGAAGGUUUUCGGAUCGUAAAACUCUGUUGUUAGAGAAGAACAAGUGCUAGAGUAACUGUUAGCGCCUUGACGGUAUCUAACCAGAAAGCCACGGCUAACUACGUG